rnacentral:tRNA from 1 species
GCCGGAGUGGUGGAACAGGCAGACACGCGGCACUUAGGAUGCCGUGCCCGAGUGGCGUGCGGGUUCAAGUCCCGCCUCCGGCACCA